rnacentral:rRNA from 1 species
GACGAACGCUGGCGGCGUGCCUAACACAUGCAAGUCGAACGGAAAGGCCCUGCUUUUGUGGGGUGCUCGAGUGGCGAACGGGUGAGUAACACGUGAGUAACCUGCCCUUGACUUUGGGAUAACUUCAGGAAACUGGGGCUAAUACCGGAUAGGAGCUCCCGCUGCAUGGUGGGGGUUGGAAAGUUUCGGCGGUUGGGGAUGGACUCGCGGCUUAUCAGCUUGUUGGUGGGGUAGUGGCUUACCAAGGCUUUGACGGGUAGCCGGCCUGAGAGGGUGACCGGCCACAUUGCGACUGAGAUACGGCCCAGACUCCUACGGGAGGCAGCAGUGGGGAGUAUUGCACAAUGGGAGGAAGCCUGAUGCGGCAACGCCGCGUGCGGGAAGACGGCCUUCGGGUUGUGAACCGCUUUCGCCUGUGACGAAGCGUGAGUGACGGUAAUGGGUGAAGAAGCACCGGCUAACUACGUG